rnacentral:rRNA from 1 species
UACGGAGGGUGCGAGCGUUGUCCGGAAUCACUGGGCGUAAAGGGCGCGUAGGCGGCCGAUCAAGUCAGAUGUGAAAGUCCUGGGCUUAACCUGGGGACUGCAUUUGAUACUGAUUGGCUUGAAUUCGGGAGAGGAUAGCGGAAUUCCCAGUGUAGAGGUGAAAUUCGUAGAUAUUGGGAAGAACACCGGUGGCGAAGGCGGCUAUCUGGACCGACAUUGACGCUGAUGCGCGAAAGCGUGGGGAGCAAACAGG